rnacentral:ncRNA from 1 species
UCCCGACCCGUCUUGAAACACGGACCAAGGAGUCUAACAUGUGCGCGAGCCGCGGGGCAGUACGAAACCCGUAAGGCGAAAUGAAGGUGAACGCCGGCGCGGUCCGGCGGAGGUUGGAUCCCGUCCCGUCGGGGCGGGCGCACUACCGGCCGAUCUUCUCCGCCCUGUCGGCGAGGUCGAGCGAGAGCGUGCAAGUCGGGACCCGAAAGAUGGUGAACUAUGCCUGAGGAGGUUGAAGCCAGAGGAAACUCUGGUGGAGGACCGUAGCGAUUCUGACGUGCAAAUCGAUCGUCAAAUUUGGGUAUAGGGGCGAAAGACUAAUCGAACCGUCUAGUAGCUGGUUCCCUUCGAAGUUUCCCUCAGGAUAGCUGGCGCUCUGUCGCAGUUUUAUCUGGUAAAGCGAAUGAUUAGAGGUCUUGGGGGCGAAACGCCCUCAACCUAUUCUCAAACUUUAAAUUGGUAAGAAGCCCGACUCGCUCGUUUGGAGCCGGGCAUGGAAUGCGAGUGCCAAGUGGGCCACUCUUGGUAAGCAGGACUGGCGAUGCGGGAUGAACCGAACGCCGGGUUAAGGCGCCCGACGCGACGCUCAUCAGAGCCCACAAAAGGUGUUGGUUGAUAUAGACAGCAGGACGGUGGCCGGGGAAGUCGGAAACCGCUAAGGGAGUGUGUAACAACUCACCUGCCGAAUCAAUC